rnacentral:rRNA from 1 species
GAUGAACGUUGGCGGCGUGCCUAAUACAUGCAAGUCGAACGAGGGUCCUGUAUUCGUACGGGAAUUCCUAGUGGCGAACGGGUGAGUAACGCGUUGGUGAUCUGCCCCGAAGAGAGGGAUAACAGUCCGAAAGGGCUGCUAAUACCUCAUGUGAUCAUAAGGGUUAAAGGCCUGAUGAUUAAAUGGAGUAAUCCGCUUCGGGAGGAGCCUGCGUCCCAUCAGCUAGUUGGUAGGGUAAUGGCCUACCAAGGCGACGACGGGUAGGGGGCCUGAGAGGGUGGCCCCCCACACUGGAACUGAAACACGGUCCAGACACCUACGGGUGGCAG